AGUGGUGUAGCUCAGUGGUAGAGCACUUGACUAGAAUGCAUGAGGCCCUGAGUUGGAUCCCCAGCACUACAA
rnacentral:tRNA from 1 species